GCAAGAUGAGAGUUUGAUCCUGGCUCAGGAUGAACGCUAGCGGGAGGCUUAACACAUGCAAGUCGAACGGUAACAGGUCCUUCGGGAUGCUGACGAGUGGCGCACGGGUGCGUAACGCGUAUGCAACUUUCCUUAUACAGGAGGAUAGCCCAGGGAAACUUGGAUUAAUACUCCAUAAUAUCAUUUAGUCGCAUGGCUGAAUGAUUAAAACUCCGGUGGUAUAAGAAGGGCCUGCGGGGCAUUAGCUUGUUGGUGGGGUAAAGGCCUACCAAGGCUUCGAUGCCUAGCCGGUCUGAGAGGAUGAUCGGCCACACUGGAACUGAGACACGGUCCAGACUCCUACGGGAGGCAGCAGUAGGGAAUCUUGCGCAAUGGGGGAAACCCUGACGCAGCGAUGCCACGUGAGUGAGGAAGGCCUUCGGGUUGUAAAGCUCUGUCCUUGGGGAAAAAGGUGCAUGGUAACCCCAUGUAUUUGAUGGUACCCAAGAAGGAAGCACCGGCUAACUUCGUGCCAGCAGCCGCGGUAAUACGAAGGGUGCAAGCGUUGUUCGGAUUUAUUGGGCGUAAAGCGCGCGCAGGCGGACUUUUAAGUCAGGUGUGAAAUGUCGGGGCCUAACCCCGGAACUGCGCCUGAAACUGAAAGUCUAGAAUUUUGGAGAGGCAUGGGGAAUGCCGCAUGUAGGAGUAAAAUCCGUAGAGAUGCGGCGGAACACCGGUGGCGAAGGCGCCAUGCUGGACAAAUAUUGACGCUGAGGCGCGAAAGCGUAGGUAGCAAACGGGAUUAGAUACCCCGGUAGUCUACGCCGUAAACGAUGAGCACUAGUUAUGGCA
rnacentral:rRNA from 1 species